AGCUAAUGUAAAUCUGCUCAACUGUGGUUUGAACCUAUUGCCUCUUGUCUUGCCCACUAUGGCAAAAUAGAACAACUUUUCUCCAUCUUUUUUAUGGCAGCCUUUCAAGUAUCU